rnacentral:piRNA from 1 species
AAGCCUUUUGCCACAUUUGCAGCUCAGGCCAU